rnacentral:rRNA from 1 species
UACGUAGGGUGCGAGCGUUAAUCGGAAUUACUGGGCGUAAAGCGUGCGCAGGCGGUUUGCUAAGACAGGUGUGAAAUCCCGGGCUUAACCUGGGAACUGCGCUUGUGACUGGCAGGCUAGAGUACGGUAGAGGGGGGUGGAAUUCCUGGUGUAGCAGUGAAAUGCGUAGAUAUCAGGAGGAACACCGAUGGCGAAGGCAGCCCCCUGGGCCUGUACUGACGCUCAUGCACGAAAGCGUGGGGAGCAAACAGGAUUAGAUACCCGGGUA